UACGUAGGGGGCUAGCGUUGUCCGGAAUCAUUGGGCGUAAAGAGCGUGUAGGCGGUCCGGUAAGUCCGCUGUGAAAGUCGGGGGGCUCAACCCUCGAAUGCCGGUGGAUACUGUCGGGCUUGAGUGCGGGAGAGGCGAGUGGAAUCCUGGUGUAGCGGUGAAAUGCGCAGAUAUCAGGAGGAACACCAAUUGCGAAGGCAGCUCGCUGGAACGUAACUGACGCUGAGACGCGAAAGCGUGGGGAGCAAACAGG
rnacentral:rRNA from 1 species